rnacentral:rRNA from 1 species
AUUGAACGCUGGCGGCAGGCCUAACACAUGCAAGUCGAGCGGAUGAAGGGAGCUUGCUCCUGGAUUCAGCGGCGGACGGGUGAGUAAUGCCUAGGAAUCUGCCUGGUAGUGGGGGAUAACGUCCGGAAACGGGCGCUAAUACCGCAUACGUCCUGAGGGAGAAAGUGGGGGAUCUUCGGACCUCACGCUAUCAGAUGAGCCUAGGUCGGAUUAGCUAGUUGGUGGGGUAAAGGCCUACCAAGGCGACGAUCCGUAACUGGUCUGAGAGGAUGAUCAGUCACACUGGAACUGAGACACGGUCCCGACUCCUACGGGAGGCAGCAGUGGGGAAUAUUGGACGAUGGGCGAAAGCCUGAUCCAGCCAUGCCGCGUGUGUGAAGAAGGUCUUCGGAUUGUAAAGCACUUUAAGUUGGGAGGAAGGACAGUAAGUUAAUACCUUGCUGUUUUGACGUUACCAACAGAAUAAGCACCGGCUAACUUCGUG